UACGGAGGGUGCGAGCGUUGUCCGGAAUCACUGGGCGUAAAGGGCGCGUAGGCGGCCUGAUAAGUAGGGGGUGAAAUCCUGCGGCUUAACCGCAGGGCUGCCUUCUAAACUGUCAGGCUGGAGCACAGUAGAGGCAGGUGGAAUUCCCGGUGUAGCGGUGGAAUGCGUAGAGAUCGGGAGGAACAUCAGUGGCGAAGGCGGCCAUCUGGGACAACACUGACGCUGAAGCACGAAAGCGUGGGGAGCAAACAGG
rnacentral:rRNA from 1 species